rnacentral:rRNA from 1 species
GUCUAUGGCCAUACCACCCUGAACGCACCUGAUCUCAUCUGAUCUCGGAAGCUAAGUAGGGUCGGGCCUGGUUAGUACUUGGAUGGGAGACCGAAUGGAAGACAUUAUCUCAAGUCU